CCCUGCUCUGACGUUGCAUGCAUCAACCAAUGUUUGCGUACCACGUCGUCGACUGUGCCGUCGGGCACCAAAUUGCGAUAACAUAAUGUGGUUGGCUGAUACGUAAUGCCUAUCCAGGGGUUGUAAGGUCUGGCAUGUGUCAGAAACGUCUGGGUAUAAGGAACACGACCGUUGUCUACUAAGAAAGUUCAGGAAUGAGGCCUCCAAAACUGGGCCAACAAGGAGGAGGAGAGCAAGGCCAAGGGCGACUCUCCCACGCACCACAACUUUCUGUAUUGGAAUCAUAGAGUCCAAUGUGCAGAGGGGGUCAUCAAGAAAAGAUUCCUUUGGAGUACGUGACAUGGUUGUUUUACCGUGCAACUUGGGGGAAGAGGAUUCUAUAAAAAAAUAUAAAGAGAAACAUUUCCACAAAUACAGGGCAAGCCGUUCGAGCUUUGUCAGGCAGAUUGCCAUCACAGGGUGUAUGCCCUGACAUUACCACAGAUGUGCCCACAGGCGAUCAGAGACAGCCGGCAGCUGAAUAGGUCCACGCUCUACGUCCGUGUGAUGGUAAAUGUAGUAGCAUAACUUAACCUAACAAGAGACCAUGUUUCUAUAGACCCGGGGUUCUCAAAUUAGGGUGUGAGGUACUGCAGGGGGUCUGAGGCCAGAUCUCAAAAUAUAUAGUAUACCUUGUUUUUUGUACGUCAUUUCUUUGAAGGAAUAUUACAGAUCAAACACAUUUUUGCCAAGGGAUCCGAGGAAUAAGUUUAGAGGGUGUAAUACAAAACAAUGUAAUAUUACUAAUCUACAAUCUAAUUGAUGUGCUUAACCCUGGCCAACAUGGGCCUGGGAGGCUCACAGGGAUAUUGUAUUCCCUAGUACUCCACUGAUUAUCAAUUAUUUCAACUCAACACAAUUUAGUAAAAAAAUAAAAUCACUGUGAUUUAAGCUUUAAAACUGCUAAGUUUGCUCUCUCCCUCGUGGAACAAUGUGCAGGAAAUUAGCUUUAAAAAGCUACCUUUGAAAUCUUUCAAUGUAUGCUCUUUUUAUUUCAGUAGAGUUGUGUUCAGAUUAUGAGGGGGUCUCUCGUAACAUACUUCAUAAACAACAGGUGCUGACUAACAGUGAAAUGCUUACGUGCUGGCCCUUCUCAACAAUGCAGAGAUAAAUCAAAUAAAGGAGAUAAUGGAACAUUUAAAAAAGGAAUGAUAAAAGUAAUAAUAAAUACAGAAUGGGUAACAAUAACUUGGCUGUAUGCACAUUGAUGUGAAAUUGAGGUAGAUACAGUUUAAGUUGGAAGUGUUCAUACACUUAGGUUGGAGUCAUUAAAACUUGUUUUUCAAACACACCACAAAUUCCUUGUUAACAAACUAUAGUUUUGGCAAGUCGGUUAUGACAUCUACUUUGUGCAUGACAUAAGUCAUUUUUCUACCAAUUGUUUACAGACAGAUUAUUUCACUUAUAAUUCACUGUAUCACAAUUCCAGUGGGUCAGAAGUUUACAUACACUAAGUUGACUGUGCCUUUAAACAGCUUGGAAAAUUCCAGAAAAUUAAUUAAUGUCUUUAGAAGCUUCUGAUAGGCUAAUUGACAUAAUUUGAGUC
rnacentral:lncRNA from 13 species